rnacentral:rRNA from 1 species
GAUGAACGCUAGCGGCAGGCCUAAUACAUGCAAGUCGAACGGUAAGGCCCUUUCGGGGGUACACGAGUGGCGGACGGGUGCGUAACGCGUAUGCAACAUGCCUUCCAGCGGGGGAUAUACCAGGGAAACUUGGCGCAAUACCCCAUAGAAUUACGGGACCGCAUGGUCUUGUGAUUAAAACUCCGGUGCUGGGAGAUUGGCAUGCGUGACAUUAGCUAGUUGGCGGGGUAACGGCCCACCAAGGCGACGAUGUCUAGCUGGUCUGAGAGGAUGAUCAGCCACACUGGGACUGAGACACGGCCCAGACUCCUACGGGAGGCAGCAGUAGGGAAUAUUGGACAAUGGGGGGAACCCGUACGAUCCACGCCAUGCCGCGUGAGGGAA